AUUGAACGCUGGCGGCAGGCCUAACACAUGCAAGUCGAACGAGUGGCGGACGGGUGAGUAAUGUCUGGGAAACUGCCCGAUGGAGGGGGAUAACUACUGGAAACGGUAGCUAAUACCGCAUACCAUCGGAUGUGCCCAUAUGGGAUUAGCUAGUAGGUGGGGUAACGGCUCACCUAGGCGACGAUCCCUAGCUGGUCUGAGAGGAUGACCAGCCACACUGGAACUGAGAAACGGCCCAGACUCCGACGGGAGGCAGCAGUGGGGAAUAUUGCACAAUGGGCGCAAGCCUGAUGCAGCCAUGCCGCGUGUAUGAAGAAGGCCUUCGGGUUGUAAAGUACUUUCAGCGAGGAGGCGUUACUCGCAGAAGAAGCACCGGCUAACUCCGUGUCAGCAGCCGCGGUAAUUC
rnacentral:rRNA from 1 species